rnacentral:lncRNA from 1 species
AUAUUCAAUAAUAGCUUAUUGGCUAGUCAAAUUAUAAUAUGUGCAAAAAGUACAGCCAUUUAAUACAGAGUUAUUACUGUCUGUGAUUUGUAAAACAGACUGCUCUACUGUGGUAAUUUUUUAGCUCUGAGAGUUCAUUCAGUAUUGUAUUACUUUAUUUGGAUAUUUUGCAUGCAUGUUCACCAGUGACAUGGAUCUUUGGUUUUAAAGGCAGAAUUUACUUUUCUCAGGUUUGGAGAAAAUAAUUAAAAUUCGAAUCGCCUUCCAAUGGCAGAAAAUCCUCUCCACAAAUGUAGAAAAAAAAAGAAAGCAGUUUUAUUACUGAAUAAGCUAAAUCAGACCUUGAUGCACUUCACAAGCGAUCCACUAUUGAGAUGAAAAGGACAGGAAGAAAUCUCAUCUUUUUAUAUAGGCAAGCAGAUACAAUCCAACACACAUUUUCCAAAUAAACAAUAACUUAUCCUCAAGUAAGAUUUGACAGUUCAAUUUGCUACACAAAAUUUCUUCUAAAUUCACCUGUUAAUUGGAGUUGCCACUGUGUUAAUUGCCUAUAUCCCAAAUAAAAAUAACAUUUCUCAUAUCUUUGACAAACCAGUCAUUACAACUUAGAGCCAGGGAUGCUUCUUUCUUCCCCUUCAGUUGCCUGGGCAGCUUGAGAUGUUCACUCAUCUCAGUUCCCAAAAGAACAUAGGAUAUCUAUCCUAGCACUUAUUUAAAUUUCCCAUGCUUUCUUACUUUUCUACCAGUGCCACAAUCUUCAAUACAGGAGCCACUAGCCAACUUGGCUACAACAUUUAAAUUAAUUAAAAUGUAAAAAUAAAAUAAUUAAAUAAAAUUUAAAAUUUAUUUUCUCCAUUGCUUAAGCCACAGUUCAAGUACUCAAUAGUCAGAUGGGGCUGUUGGCUACCGUACUGAUCAGUACACAUGCACAGCACUUCCACCACUGCAGAAAGUUCUCUUAGACAAUACUGCACUAGAUCAUGAAGUCCUGUGUGUCAGUGUACACCAAAAUCCAUGUACAACUCUUCCUAACAGGUACUUCAUAAGUGUUUAGAAGAUGAACCAAUGAAUGGUUUUGGCAUUAGUUCACUUUAGCCUUUACUUUGUUUUUUCUUUCAAGAGGCAGGUUCUUGCUCUGUCACCAAGCUGGAGUGCAGUGACAUAAUCAUAGCUCACUACAGGCUUACACCAGAGGGCUCAAGAAAUCUUCCUACCUCAUCAGCCUCCCGAGUAACUGGGACAACAGGCAUGCACUACCACACCAGUUUUUCAAUUCUAAUUAUCUUAAUUAUUCCAUGAAAACAGACUUCACCCAAGAUGUACAUCUGCUACUUACAUCCCCUCCUGUGCAAGCUUCACCUUCCAUGCCAUGAUUCUGCCCCACCAGUUCUUCAUUACUCAUCUUAUUCACUCCACAAUUACUUACUAAGCAUCCAUUUGGUGCCAGGUAACACUCUGGGUACUGACGCUAUAACAGUCAACAAAGAAGAAAAAGCAUUCCUCCCACCAGGAACAGACAAUGAGCACGUGCAUAUACUGAACAUACAGUACAUCAGCUAGUGAGUGACACACACUGUGGAAAACAACAAAGCAGUGAUGGAGGAGUGGAAGCGCUAGGGAAGGUGACUGCAAUUGCAAAUAGGCUUUCAGGGAAGCUGUUCUGAGAAAGUAACCACGGAACAAACACAGAAGGAGAUAAGGAUGCAAGCUUGUGCGUAUGUGGGGGAAGAAUAUUCCACGUGGAUGGCACAGCAACUGGUGACAGAGGCUGGAGCGCACAGGAAUGAGGAGGCAGAGAAGGAAGGUGGGAUCAGGGAGGUAAUGGCCUAAUUGUACAAAUAGGUCAUUGCAGAAGUGACUCAGUUAGAACCACUGAAAAAUUUUAGGUUGCGGAAUGACAGGAAUUUAUAUAACAAUAGGACCAUGGUCACAGCUGUACUGAGAACAGACUGAUGAGGGUUAAGGGCAGAUGCUGGGAAUCCAGCUAGGAGGCUACCGCAAUAAUCCAGGUGGCUCGGACUGGGGUGGUAGUGGUGGUGGUGGUGAUGGGCUAACUAAUGGUCAGAUGCUGUAUACGGUGUAUCGUUUAGAUCCAAACUAGAGGACCUGAAUAUGAGUUAUAAGUCAAAAGGAAGAAUCAAGGAUGACUCCAAACAUCUCUUCACUUGAGACCACAUGGUACAGUUUUGACAACCAUAAACCGAAUAACCUUACAUUCCAAAGUUGCAUUGUGAAUUACAGUUUUAAAAUGUUGGCAAUCUAGAAAGUCUUCUAGCAGAAAACUGUAGAAAAGAGGAACACUGGGUGAUGAGGACAAUACCUUGGAGCUCUCCUGUGGGCUCCAUUCUUCCUAUAGUGAAAGGAACCAUAGAUCUAGUCCCUUAAAUGGACUUGAUUAGGUGGGAACAGGCAGGAGAAGCAAAGCAAACACACAGAGGCCUAAUAAAGUGUUUCAGGAAGAUUUGGGGACACACCGACUUACCUGAGACAUUAUUCUGCAAUUUCCAAUGGCCAACAGAGUCCCCUUUCCAGGUUCUUAUCUUAGAGAUGGGCAGUGUCCUGAGGGCACAGAAAGGCAGGAAAAAGCAGUCAUGAAAAAUCGGGCUUAUCUUGCGGCACCUGUCACACACCUUAAUGGAAAAGCACACUGGUAAUCACUCGCCGGAGCGUCAAUCUCUCCCUGGGAAGGAACAGGGUGUUUCUCCGCAAGGGCUAUUUACCAGGUGCCACCUGCGGGGAAAAUCAAUUAUUCUGUAUACAAAAGACUCAUAAAACAACGGUAACAACUUUAUCAGCUCGUUCAGUCUUCACCACUUUGCAAGGUGUGCAUUCAUAUUAUUCCAGAUUUUUUUUUUUUUUUUUUUGAGACGGAGUCUCGUUCUGUCUCCAGGCUGGAGUGCAAUGGAGCGACCUCGACUCACUGCAACCUCUGCCUCCCGGGUUGAAGCGAUUCUCCUACCUCAACCUCUCGAAUAGCUGGGAUUAUAGACACGUGCCACCACGCCCAGCUAAUUUUUUUUUGUAUUUUUAGUAGAGACGGCGUUUCGCCAUGUUCGUUAGGCUGGUGCGGUGGCUUACGCCUUUAAUCCCAGCACUUCGGAAGGCGGAGGCGGGCGGAUCGCUUGAGGUCGAGUUCUAAACCAGAUUUAUUUUUUAAAAUGAAGACAAAACUGAAAUUCCGAGAUACUGAACCCAUUUGUUCAAGGUUGCACAACUGAAAGCGCCGGCUUCAUGACGACAUAACCCAAAAAAAACUGUAGC